rnacentral:sRNA from 1 species
AGAAGCAGAGAAGCAGUCAGAGGCCAGUGCGCGUGCGCAAGUGAGACUGACUAGGGGCUCUGGGGCUAGCGAGUGGCUCCGGUGCCGAGGCCAGCAGCUCCACCUACGGCCAGCUCGCUCCGGACGCAGUUUUCUCUCUGAGCUUCCAAACCUAUCAGGGAUGGAAGAAAACCGUCAUGUUCUGUGCCUCUUGCCCUUGUUCUGCCGUGAGGUCCAGCCGUCAUGCGGCUCAGGCGUUAUUUACUUGGUAGCCUCCUGUGAUACCCCAAGGCUGAUUCUGUAUUCAAGACUGAGACUGUGGAUGCAAACUAGAAAACAUGCGUUUCAAGAACCUCUGCGCGCCCAACAGCUUCAGCCUGGGGAGUCCCCUGUCUAGGGUGCGUUCUCUGCAUCUGAUGUACAAGCACUCCCACUCUCUUUUGCUUGAUAAAGAAUAAAGGAAGACAAGUGGCAGCUGCCACAGGAGCAGACUGAAAACAAGCCUCGCCACACACCCCGGUCUUCACAAAGGCUGAUUCAGAGACGCGCGGCCGACAAACCGAGCAGCUGAGGACUUCGGCACAGUCACCUGCCCCAAUGUUAAUUGCACAUUUAAAGGACUGUCCAGGUGACCUGAGGGUUUAACCAGAGCGCAUUUCCAACUGGCCUUUCUUUAAGACGGACAAGAGUACAGAUGAAGAACGGGAGAUAGCUGCAAAGGUCACCGACCACAGAUCUAUAGCCCCACCUAAUUCCAAGGAGACUCCCAGGGACCGGGAAGACCGCCGGAGGAAAGACGCAGCCGUGUACACUGUGAUGAAACUGGAGGGUGGUUUCCCUUUUAACAGUAUUGAUUCUUUCUUUUGUUAGUCUAUGAAGUAACGGUUUCAUUGUGACUUUUCCAUACACAUGUGUGGUUGUACUUUACACACACUGUUCCCAUUACCCUCUCUCCUUUGGUCCCCACUGGCUCUCCUUUUCUCAGUCGUUUUUCCCUAUAUUUUUAUGCCAUGUGUGUAUACUGUUGGAUCUAGCUUCCAUAUAUGAGAAUAUAUAUUUCUUUCUCCCCCCUUAACCUCUCUUGUUCUUUCCUUUAGACCAUUCUAUUCACAUGUAAAUAUAUAAAUUUAUAUAUUAUACAAUAUAUACUACCUAUAUAAAAUCUACACUCGGAGGAUGGGGGAAAACAUGCAAUAUUUGCCUUUCUGAGCCUGUCUUACUUCAUCUAACAUGAUGAUUUUCAGUUCCAUCCACUUUUUUCAGAAAUAAACCAGUUUUAUUUCUCUUUA